GAGGAAAGAGGGAGGCGUGCCUAAUACAUGCAAGUCGAGCGAACAGACGAGAGUGCUUGCACUCUCUGACGUUAGCGGCGGACGGGUGAGUAACACGUGGGUAACCUACCUAUAAGACUGGGAUAACUUCGGGAAACCGGAGCUAAUACCGGAUAAUAUUUAGCUUCGCAUGAAGCAAUAGUGAAAGACGGUUCUGCUGUCACUUAUAGAUGGACCCGCGGUGUAUUAGCUAGUUGGUGAGGUAACGGCUCACCAAGGCAACGAUACAUAGCCGACCUGAGAGGGUGAUCGGCCACACUGGGACUGAGACACGGCCCAGACUCCUACGGGAGGCAGCAGUAGGGAAUCUUCCGCAAUGGACGAAAGUCUGACGGAGCAAUGCCGCGUGAGUGAAGAAGGUUUUCGGAUCGUAAAACUCUGUUGUAAGGGAAGAACAAGUACGUUAGUAACUGAACGUACCUUGACGGUACCUUACCAGAAAGCCACGGCUAACUACGUG
rnacentral:rRNA from 1 species